AUGCUUUUUUCCCCCACAUGCCCAGGAACUGGAAAACCUGUAACAAAAGGCACUGAGAACUCAGGGCCAAGAGAGCCUCUGCACCUUCCCAGCUUACUCCCAAAGAGCCACGAGCUGUGCAGGGAUGGUCUCAGCCCAUGGGAACAAGAGCGGGAACUUGGGGUGACCACGUCAGAGAGCAUCUUGGGGCUCCAGGGUCUCAGUCUGCUCCGUUCUCUUCUCAGUAGCGGCCACUACUUACAUCAUCCCUGGGGACUCUGUCCCUCCCACGCCUGGCUGGGGAGUGGAGCGAGUCUUCCUGACCUGCUUUCUCCUGCCAUUCCAGAUGACAAGUCCAUAGGGACAUUUUGCUUAAGUUAAUGCUAACUACCAGGGAACAUCAUAACCGUAUUGGCCGUUGAUUAACAAACUUUGCCUCUGGGAUCAUAAAUAAAAGCAUCAUGUUCUUUGUUUUCUUGACUGCA
rnacentral:lncRNA from 1 species